rnacentral:tmRNA from 1 species
GGGGGCGUCACGGUUUCGACGUGUUCAGUGAGGUCAAAGUCGCGUGCCGAGGUCCCGGGGCCUCGUAAACCUCUCGGGGAAUUCAUAACUGCCAACAACAACCUGGCAAUGGCUGCGUAAGGUUCUGCCUUACUUGUAGCCCGUCGCUGGAGUAGCUCGCCCGAAGCGCCUCCAAACGACGUCGCAAAUUCGGGCUGGUCCCUCGAUGGCGCCGCUUCGUCGGGGACGAGAACAUACCGGCGGCUAGCCCAGGCAGGCCGCACCCCGGCCUCGUCUGAUCGCGAAUCCAACAGGGUGAUACGCACGUAGACGCUUUGACGGAUCGGUUCGCGGACGCGGGUUCGACUCCCGCCGCCUCCACUG